AUUAGGCUUUUUUUAAGAAGGAAAAAAACACAACGUGAAUUGUUGGACUCUUCUGUCCACAGAAAAUUUCACAAUUUCUGGUACUCAUUGCAAAUGAGAGCAAUUUUGGCUGAAUUUUCUAUGGAAGCGAAACUCUUAGCUUUGACCACUUCAAUGGCAUCUGCUAAGCCGAAAUAUUGCAGAAGUAUCUUUCUGAAAGAAGAACCAGUAGUAACGCUUCAGGACUGAAUGAAUCAAUGCUGGCAUUAAAUCAGCAGCUCCAGCAAUCAGCCCGUCUCCUCCUGUUGCCGUAUGCUAGCAGUGAUUGUGCUGAAUGAUGGAAAUGCUUAUGUUGUGAUUUACAAUCACACAGCUUGUGGUGCAAGCAUUUGCCUCCAGUUACAAGCUUUGUGACAUCCACUGGGACAUGCUCCCUAUAGCCAGAGCAUCCACCUUUACCUGAGUACAAAAGUGGGCAGAUCUAUCAAUAUUUUGCCAUCAUCUUUCCACGUUGAACUGGUUCUAAAUUGCACCUCAUCGUUAACGCUCUGGACUUGGCUUGCUGCAGCUGCCAACCCUUUGCGAUGGGAAUCUGGUGUCUCGCCGACAUUUCUGGCCUUUAGCAAACCUCCCUUGCAACAGAAACUGUUCCGGAGUCCAUCUGCCGUAAUGAAUAUUGCUGCGAGUAAAAGAGCAAAGGCGGAAGUGGGCAAAGGUUGCAGGCUCCUGUGCCAGGGCUCCUGCAUUAGGAAAGCCUGGGGAGGCCAAGCUGCCUGGCUCGCUCCAAGGGCUAACAUAAUUCAGCUUUCCAUAGCCAGCUGGUUUUGCUUCAGAGAUGCAGAAAGGUAAUGUUAAAGCAUGUAGGAAAGGGGAAGAAGAGAUGGAAAAAGUGGAUGCUGAAGGAAGUAUAAAAACAAGACUCUGAGCUGAAAAACCACAGAGAAGGAGAAUUUUAUUUGCUUAAUGAAUGCUUUAAACCUCACUGCCUCAUUCCUGCCCUAAAAGCCAUCACCACCUUUCACUUCUUUCUUCUGGCUCAUCGUCUUGUGCAGCUGAGUUUGUCAGUUUUAUUUCUCCAAAGUGCUACGGAGGGCGCAACGUGCAAUUCACAACUCAAUAAAAUUUGAAGAAAAAUAAAUGUUUGCUGCAUCAUAGAUGAGAUGGAGAUUGUGGAGGAGGGAAGGUGAGGGGAGGAAGUAGGAGGCAGACUUUAACUAAAUUGCUCCUUUCGGAAAAGGUUUGAGAAUUGAGAGCAGGUAACUCGACAGAGCACAAAUGUUCUAAAAUGGACUUAUCAAGAAUUAAAAUGCAAAGAGCGGAGGAAAGCAUUCAGAAAUAGUGGCUGUGCAGGGUGAUUUCAGCCUAAUGAGAAGUUAGCAGUCGGUACUGGAAAUCUAAAUCAUGAUGGGUCUGAAGUAAGGAUUAAAUUGUUUGAAAUUGCAUUGGCUGGAAAAAGUCAACAACUGCAUCUUCAUCUUUCAGAAAGACAGGACACGGCACACUCCUCCUCAUUUCGGAGAGGCAGAAAGGCUGUACCGAUAGUUCAGAGAUUGGUCAACAGCUUUAUUCAUUUCAGAGAGGAAGUCGUUCGGAUAGCAAAUAACAGUGACUCAGAUGUCAAAAUUACCAACGCUCCUUUUCCUAGAUGAGACACGAUCGAGGGUCUUAGCACAGCCUGAGUUGCUGUAAGUGAUGCCUCAUUCUGCCCCAAAACACAGCUUCUGGCCAGUUGAGGAGAUGCUACCCUGCCAAACAGAGCUCUUACUGGAGGAGGGACGAGGCAGCAGGAUUUAACAGGGGCUGUCUGUCGUAGAAAGCAAUGAAGAGCAGUGCUGCCCUCCUGGAAAUCCCUGCCUUGGGGCCUUUUGAGUGCAGAACUGCAGUGGUUCAAACCCUGCCUCUUCCACGAUGCUUUAUAGCCUCCUGCAGGAGUGCUGGGGCUGUAAUUAGCCCCACGCUCCUCUAAUGGCACUGGGCUGUGUGUCUGCAGCUCUCCUCGUACUGUGGGAUCAGCAUUUUAACACAGCUCUGUGAAUGCAGUUUGCCCUGC